rnacentral:rRNA from 1 species
AUUGAACGCUGGCGGCAGGCCUAACACAUGCAAGUCGAGCGGAUGAAGGGAGCUUGCUCCUGGAUUCAGCGGCGGACGGGUGAGUAAUGCCUAGGAAUCUGCCUGGUAGUGGGGGAUAACGUCCGGAAACGGGCGCUAAUACCGCAUACGUCCUGAGGGAGAAAGUGGGGGAUCUUCGGACCUCACGCUAUCAGAUGAGCCUAGGUCGGAUUAGCUAGUUGGUGGGGUAAAGGCCUACCAAGGCGACGAUCCGUAACUGGUCUGAGAGGAUGAUCAGUCACACUGGAACUGAGACACGGUCCAGACUCCUACGGGAGGCAGCAGUGGGGAAUAUUGGACAAUGGGCGAAAGCCUGAUCAAGCCAUGCCGCGUGUGUGAAGAAGGUAUUCGGAUUGUAAAGCACUUUAAGUUGGGAGGAAGGGCAGUAAGUUAAUAACUUGCUGUUUUGACGUUACCAACAGAAUAAGCACCGGCUAACUUCGUG